rnacentral:rRNA from 1 species
AUUGAACGCUGGCGGCAUGCUUUACACAUGCAAGUCGAACGGUAACAGGCCGCAAGGUGCUGACGAGUGGCGCACGGGUGCGUAAUGCAUCGGAACGUGCCCAGUCGUGGGGGUUAACUACUCGAAAGAGUAGCUAAUACCGCAUACGAUCUAUGGAUGACAGCGGGGGACCGUAAGGCCUCGCGCGAUUGGAGCGGCCGAUGUCAGAUUAGGUAGUUGGUGGGGUAAAGGCUCACCAAGCCAACGAUCUGUAGCUGGUCUGAGAGGACAACCAGCCACACUGGGACUGAGACACGGCCCAGACUCCUACGGGAGGCAGCAGUGGGGAAUUUUGGACAAUGGGCGCAAGCCUGAUCCAGCAAUGCCGCGUGCAGGAAGAAGGCCUUCGGGUUGUAAACUGCUUUUGUACGGAACGAAACGGCUCUGGUUAAUACCCGGGGCUAAUGACGGUACCGAAAGAAUAAGCACCGGCUAACUACGUG